AAAAGAUGGGUUCUGCUAUCACUCUUGGGAUGGGACCUGCGGUGCAUUAGCUAGUUGGUAAGGUAACGGGCUUUACCAGGGGCAAUGAUGCAUAGCCCGAGUUGAGAGACUGAUCGGGCCACAUUGGGGACUGAGACACGGGCCCAAAACUCCUACGGGGAGGCAGCAGUAGGGAAUCUUCCACAAUGGACGCAAGUCUGAUGGAGCAACGCCGCGUGAGUGAAGAAGGGUUUCGGCUCGUAAAGCUCUGUUGGUAGUGAAGAAAGAUAGAGGUAGUAACUGGCCUUUAUUUGACGGUAAUUACUUAGAAGUCACGGCUAACUACGUGCCAGCAGCCGCGGUAAU
rnacentral:rRNA from 1 species